AAAUAAUUUCUCCUUUUCUCCAAGGAACUUGACCUUUCACAUACUAAACAUUUUCUUAAACACAUAACAUUUUUCUUAAACACAUAGGAAAUCUAUCAAACGGCAAAGAGAAGAAAAGAAAGAAAAGAAAUACAAAGUCUCAUUUGACUGCUGAUAUGAGGUGUUGCUGCGCGGCUCUCGUGGGCUCACUCUCGCGCUGCCUCUGCUGACAGAAAGAUCUGAGGUGUAGACGGGAGCCCGGGACAAGAGCGGGCGAUGGCGGGGGAAGGAUGAGUGUGAAGAAUGAUAGUCAUUUGGACUUCUUUGUGCAAUCACUUUGGUAAAUUGUUAACUUUCAUUCUCUCCUUUUCUUCCGUGGAAUGGCAAAAUUUAAGACGUGGAUUUUCACUAUGGUUGUCAAGAUGAGAAAUUUUCGAUUGUGAAAAUAAGGUUGAUGUGCGAGGCAUCUGAUUUCACUGUGUCAGCUGAAAGUGUUUAAUUGGAUUUCGAUGUUCCUUUUGUUUUCUUUAUGUUGAUGCACUUGUUAUGUUGACUGUUUUCCAAAAGCCUAUCGGUUAAUUUGUUAUUUCAAUAAUGAUGAUAGUAGUAAUUAUAUAUACUUGAUAAUUGUUAUCACAAAUAUCCUUUGCCUCCACACCACCAUCGCCAGCAUCAUCUACAUUAUUAUUCAUAUUGUUAUUAUUGCUAUUGUGUUACCACGGCUAGUGCCGUCUGCUAGUAGCAUGAAUAUUUCCAUUUGGGGUAAAACUCACUUUGGUCUUAAAAAAUAUGCUCAACUCUAUAUUCUCAUUCCAGUCUAUUAUCUAUUAAAAUACAAAUGACCAAUUAUAAUCAUGAUUUCUAUAAAUACGCAUAUUCUAUAUUAAUGUUGUUGUUGUUAUUAUUAUUAUUAUUAUUAUUAUUAUUAUUAUUAUUGUUAUUAUUAUUAUUAUUACUACUACUACUAUCAUUAUUGUUAUUGUUAUCAUCAUCAUCAUCAUCAUUAUUAUCUUCAUUUUAAUUAUCUGUUGUAUCCGUCGAUUCCCUCAAAAGACUUCAUAUUUAUUAGGUCUAUUACUCAUCAAUAUUCAUUUAUACACAAUGAAACACAAUUACUUUGAUAUCCAAUUAUUUGCAUUUGCGAAAACUUUUAUAACCUGUCUUUGUUAUGUUUAACCUCAUCGUUAUAUACGAGUUACUUUAAUGUUUUUGUCUGCCUUGCUGCGAGACUCGUUACAUUUUUUCAGUGUCCAAUAUUGCUCUUGAUUAUGAUGCAGUAAAUAAGCUGUUCUUGUUAUUUAAGUAAUCAUUUUUGUUACUACGGUUACCCUUUAGAAUAUUUGAAGAACUCAACUUCCUAACCUUGAAUUUCAUCGUUAUGGAUCUGGACUACUUUGAAUUCUUUGUGUAAGAAACAUCGUACAACUUAAUUAUAUGUUAUAUUCAUUAA